GAUGAAGAACGUAGCGAAAUGCGAUAAGUAAUGUGAAUUGCAGAAUUCAGUGAAUCAUCGAAUCUUUGAACGCACAUUGCGCCCCCUGGUAUUCCGGGGGGCAUGCCUGUCCGAGCGUCAUUACAACCCUCAAGCUCAGCUUGGUGUUGGGCCCCGCCGUCCCGGCGGGCCCUAAAGUCAGUGGCGGUGCCGUCCGGCUCCGAGCGUAGUAAUUCUUCUCGCUCUGGAGGUCCGGUCGUGUGCUCGCCAGCAACCCCCAAUUUUUUUCAGGUUGACCUCGGAUCAGGUAGGGAUACCCGCUGAACUUAAGCAUAUCAAUAAGCGGAGGA
rnacentral:misc_RNA from 1 species